rnacentral:rRNA from 1 species
GACAGAGGGUGCAAACGUUGUUCGGAAUUACUGGGCGUAAAGCGCGUGUAGGCGGCCGGGCAUGUCGGAUGUGAAAUCCCGUGGCUCAACCACGGAAGUGCACCCGAAACUGCCCAGCUUGAGUCUCGGAGAGGAAGGCGGAAUGCUUGGUGUAGAGGUGAAAUUUGUAGAUAUCAAGCAGAACACCUGCGGCGAAGGCGGCCUUCUGGACGGUGACUGACGCUGAGACGCGAAAGCGUGGGGAGCAAACAGG